CCCUAUAUAAAAGCUAGACGGUUUAGCGCGUCCUGGUUAAUUGGGGCACUGUAGAUGCGUAAUUUCUGAUCGGUUAGUUCCAUAGGUCGAGCGACACGUUGCUUCCUCAUUUUUCUCUACCGUUCCAGAUUGAAAGGUUGGGUGACCGGCUACCGGCUGAGCGUCAUUCUCUCGGUUUCCUCUUCACCAGCGAUCAAAGCGGUGCGGGGCAAUCUAGAAACUCCCAAAGAUUUCCAGUAUAAUAAAUCUCUAAUAUUCCCAAUCUCUGCGACCCAUAUCCUCCCAUGGAGGUCGAUAUCUUCCUCCGCUCCUCUCCCUCCUUGGUUGACGAGGGGUGUGCAGAGACAGCCAUCGAGCUGCCCUUCUCUCCCAUAGCAAGGUAGCCAUGGGGCGCCCCUUCUCCCCAGGUGCUGCACGUUUCUCCCCCUCCUGAGUCGGCAUCCGGCACGGAUGAGUUUGACACCCACAUCUUCUUCCCAAGGUGAUUAAUGGCGUGGAGGAGGACCUGGGCGUCCUCUACCCCUCCUGAGGCAAUACGGCUAUGGGAAGAUCCUUCUUUCAUGGCAGCGUCCGCCAUGGGCGAUGACGAGGAGGGCUGCCAUGGCCGCCACCGCUGAGAUCUCCAGGAUGAAGCGUCCUGGGGAAUCACCUAGAACGCCUCCAUGGAGCAUUGCCCAUGACGAUCUGCUUGAUUCCAUCCCGAACGGCGCUGAUCAAGAUCGCCUCCAGAAGGAGCUUGCCGAGCGGCAGGUCGGACGCGUGCCUGCUUCAACGGCUGGAGUUCUCCAACUGACUACCUUUAGUUCUGUAGACAUAUGUUCUCCUGGCCACCGUAUUUUUUUUUAUUCCAAGCCCGUCUAGGUUGGGCCACACUUUCCUCUAAUUGUCUGGUAUGCGAUGCUCCCGAUUCAAGGUCAUAGGAAGUCCAUGUUUUGUUCCUCUCUACAAGUGCCAUAUUUUGCCCUUAAAACAAAGCCAGUGGUGCAAAAGAGGUCAGAUUUUGUUUCAUUUCAAUUAUGUUCUAACUGUAAUCCUGUUUUCCUUUCUAAUUGGCUCUGAUCGUGUGUCUAUGGUUUGAUAUACAUAUAAUGUUGCCAUUUUCCAAUGCACUGCAAGAAUAUGGAAAUUAAAAGAACAAAAUCUAUUAGAAAAAUGCCAAGGAUAUUCUAAUACACAUGUUAGGCACAAGUAUUGUAUACUCGUGUGGUUUACUAUGUCCUGUAAGAAUACAUGAAGCCACAUGUUCUAAAUCGGAUUCAAUAUCAUUGUAUUUUUGGUAGUGUUGGUACUUUAAUAAGUACAUACAAGAAAUGCACAAACAGCAAACCUGCUCUUACUUACUGUGUUGCCUUUGUUUGGAUUCCAUCUAUACAGGAUUAAUUGAUCAAUUAGGAUUGUUGAACUUGCACAAACAGAAAACCUGCUCUUACUUAGUGUGUUGCCUUUGUUUAGAUUCCAUCUAUACAGGAUUAAUUGAUCAAUUAGAAUUCUUGAACUCUCGAAAGUGUUUAGCCUUCCUGGAACCUGGUCAGUAUAUAUGCUGCAGAUGUUUGCAUUCAUAAUUUUUGAAAAAAUCUCCCCAGCUUAAGUAACCAUUUAUGUCCAUGAACUGUAAAUUUAAAAUAUUUUGGCCGUUUAGAUCGAUACAGAAAUGCACUAGCUAGAUAGUAAGUACUGUGAAAUUAUAUAUGAGCUAUGGAAGAAACAAGUUUAUUAUCCGACAGCUUAGUUCUUAUAACUGCGCAUGGAUUUAGCAUGAACCCUUCCAGUCUCAUUUAAUAUGAACCCUUCUUUCAAGACACAAGGUCAGAACUAACUUGGAACUCUUGACUGUCUAUUUGAUGCUAGCUAGCAGAAGUAUUUUUUUUUCGAUAUGGAACUAGCUAGCAGAAGUAUGAAGGCCUACUAGCAUAGUUGAGGUAUCCUAACAACUACUGUCCUUUAUUUGGACUCUGGGAUGAAUGGAUUGGGUAGAUUUACCUGCAAAUGAAUUACGAUGUGAAAAAAGUCUUCAUCCAUAUCUUCCUUGCACAAAGACCUGAAGAAGUUUAAGGAUGGUACAUGAUCAAAAUGAGUGAACAUCUCGCAAAAUAAAAUUAUCCACUCCUGAAACUACAAGAGCAUUAGUUUUUUUUCCUUUUCUUGAGUAACACCAUAUAGUAAGGUACAAAAACUUGACAGAAUUUAUACCUUUGAAGUUUGAACAGACAUAUGUUUACACAUUGCUGAACCCAUAUUAUGAGCGUAAUUUCUUUCUAAUAUUUGUUGAAUACAAACUUGGUGUUUAUUUGCCAAAGCCUACGUUUUCUCAUGGUGAACUUUAUGUUUUUGUGUCGAGGGUAACUUCUUGGAAGGGAUUAAAGGUGCUCCCACUUGAUGAGAAUAGGGAGACAACGGCGGAAACAAGGAAUAUAGUAUACCAAGAAAUAAUUGCUAAUCUUUAAACACUGCGUGUGUGAGCAUCUCUUUAUGUAUCCCUCCGUGCAAACUGUGUUUCUAUUAGCCGUAGAUUGUAAAUUAGGAGCGAUGUGUGUUCCUCUUGCCUGUAUAUUGUACACAAGGAGGCUAUGUUUGAUCGCAAAUUCAACUCCAGUAAUUGAACAGAUGCUGGAUCCUUUUGGAUCCAUAAAAUCA